UGGGGAAUAUUGCACAAUGGGCGAAAGCCUGAUGCAGCAACGCCGCGUGAGUGAUGAAGGCCUUCGGGUUGUAAAGCUCUGUCUUUUGGGACGAUAAUGACGGUACCAAAGGAGGAAGCCACGGCUAACUACGUGCCAGCAGCCGCGGUAAUACGUAGGUGGCAAGCGUUGUCCGGAUUUACUGGGCGUAAAGGAUGCGUAGGCGGAUUUUUAAGUGAGAUGUGAAAACCCUAAGCUUAACUUGGGGACUGCAUUUCAUACUGGAAAUCUAGAGUGCGGGAGAGGAGAAUGGAAUUCCUAGUGUAGCGGUGAAAUGCGUAGAGAUUAGGAAGAACACCAGUGGCGAAGGCGAUUCUCUGGACCGUAACUGACGCUGAGGCAUGAAAGCGUGGGUAGCAAAACAGGAUUAGAUACCCUGGUAGUCCACGCCGUAAACGAUGAGUACUAGGUGUAGGAGGUAUCGACCCCUUCUGUGCCGCAGUUAACACAAUAAGUACUCCGCCUGGGAAGCACGAUCGCAAGAUUAAAAACUCAAAGGAAUUGACGGGGUC
rnacentral:rRNA from 1 species